UGGGGAAUCUUCCGCAAUGGACGAAAGUCUGACGGAGCAACGCCGCGUGAGUGAAGACGGCCUUCGGGUUGUAAAGCUCUGUGAUCCGGGACGAAAGAGCCUGAGGUAAAUAGCCUAAGGAAGUGACGGUACCGGAAAAGCAAGCCACGGCUAACUACGUGCCAGCAGCCGCGGUAAUACGUAGGUGGCAAGCGUUGUCCGGAAUUAUUGGGCGUAAAGCGCGCGCAGGCGGCUUCCUAAGUCCAUCUUAAAAGUGCGGGGCUUAACCCCGUGAUGGGAUGGAAACUGGGAAGCUGGAGUAUCGGAGAGGAAAGUGGAAUUCCUAGUGUAGCGGUGAAAUGCGUAGAGAUUAGGAAGAACACCGGGGGCGAAGGCGACUUUCUGGACGAAAACUGACGCUGAGGCGCGAAAGCGUGGGGAGCAAACAGG
rnacentral:rRNA from 1 species